AUUGAACGCUGGCGGCAGGCCUAACACAUGCAAGUCGAACGAGUGGCGGACGGGUGAGUAAUGUCUGGGAAACUGCCUGAUGGAGGGGGAUAACUACUGGAACCGGUAGCUAAUACCGCAUACCAUCAGAUGUGCCCAGAUGGGAUUAGCUAGUAGGUGGGGUAACGGCUCACCUAGGCGACGAUCCCUAGCUGGGCUGAGAGGAUGACCAGCCACACUGGAACGUGGACACGGUCCAGACUCCUACGGGAGGCAGCAGUGGGGAAUAGUGCACAAUGGGCGCAAGCCGUAUGCAGCCAGGCCGCGUGGAUGAAGAAGGCCUUCGGGUUGUAAAGUACUUUCAGCGGGGAGGCGUUACCCGCAGAAGAAGCACCGGCUAACUCCGUGCCAGCAGCCGCGGUAAUAC
rnacentral:rRNA from 1 species